CCUACGGGUGGCAGCAGUGGGGAAUUUUGGACAAUGGGGGCAACCCUGAUCCAGCCAUGCCGCGUGCGGGAAGAAGGCCUUCGGGUUGUAAACCGCUUUUGUCAGGAGAGAAAUCUCUUGGGCUAAUACCCUGAGAGGAUGACGGUACCUGAAGAAUAAGCACCGGCUAACUACGUGCCAGCAGCCGCGGUAAUACGUAGGGUGCAAGCGGGGCGUAGAAUUAGUGGGCGCGAAUGUGCAAGAGGGGGUUGAAAUCCCCGGGCUUAACCUGGGAACUGCACUUGUGACUGCACGGCUAGAGUACGGCAGAGGGGGAUGGAAUUCCGCGUGUAGCAGUGAAAUGCGUAGAUAUGCGGAGGAACACCGAUGGCGAAGGCAGUCCCCUGGGCCUGUACUGACGCUCAUGCACGAAAGCGUGGGGAGCAAACAGGAUUAGAUACCCUAGUAGUC
rnacentral:rRNA from 1 species